rnacentral:rRNA from 1 species
AAUAUUGGACAAUGGGGGAAACCCUGAUCCAGCCAUGCAGCGCGUGUGAAGAAGGUCUUCGGUUUGUAAAGCACUUCUAGUUGGGAGGAAGGGUUGUUGGCUAAUAUCCAGCAAUUAUGACGUUACCUACAGUAUAAGCACCGGCUCACGCUGCGCCAGCAGCCGCGGUAAUACAGAGGGUGCAAGCGUUAAUCGGAAUUACUGGGCGUAAAGCGCGCGUAGGUGGUUCAGUAAGAUGGGUGUGAAAUCCCCGGGCUUAACCUGGGAACUGCUUUCAUAACUGCUGAGCUAGAGUACGGUAGAGGGUAGUGGAAUUUCCUGUGUAGCGGUGAAAUGCGUAGAUAUAGGAAGGAACACCAGUGGCGAAGGCGACUACCUGGACUGAUACUGACACUGAGGUGCGAAAGCGUGGGGAGCAAACA